GACGAACGCUGGCGGCGUGCUUAACACAUGCAAGUCGAACGGAAAGGCCCUGCUUUUGUGGGGUGCUCGAGUGGCGAACGGGUGAGUAACACGUGAGUAACCUGCCCUUGACUUUGGGAUAACUUCAGGAAACUGGGGCUAAUACAGGAUAGGAGCUCCUGCUGCAUGGUGGGGGUUGGAAAGUUUCGGCGGUUGGGGCUGGACUCGCGGCUUAUCAGCUUGUUGGUGGGGUAGGUGCUUACCAAGGCUUUGACGGGUAGCCCGCCUGAGAGCGGUACCGGCCACAUUGGGACUGAGAGACGGCCCAGUAGGCUACGGGAGGCAGUAGUGGGGAAUAUUGCACAAUGGGCGGAAGCCUGAGGCAGCAACCCCGCGUGCGGGAUGACCGCCUUCUGGUUGUAAACCGCUUUCGCCUGUGACGAAGCGUGAGUGACGGUAAUGGGUAAAGAAGCACCGGCUAACUACGUG
rnacentral:rRNA from 1 species